rnacentral:rRNA from 1 species
AUUGAACGCUGGCGGCAUGCCUUACACAUGCAAGUCGAACGGCAGCACGGGAGCAAUCCUGGUGGCGAGUGGCGAACGGGUGAGUAAUAUAUCGGAACGUGCCCAGUGAUGGGGGGAUAGCCCGGCGAAAGCCGGAUUAAUACCGCAUACGACCUACGGGUGAAAGCAGGGGAUCGCAAGACCUUGCGUCAUUGGAGCGGCCGAUAUCAGAUUAGCUGUUGGUGGGGUAAAAGCCUACCAAGGCGACGAAUCUGUAGCUGGUCUGAGAGGACGACCAGCCACACUGGGACUGAGACACGGCCCAGACUCCUACGGGAGGCAGCAGUGGGGAAUUUUGGAC